rnacentral:ncRNA from 1 species
CACAAGAUGUAUGCUCAUGCUCGCUGACGCGCCAGGGGAAUCCGGUGCGAAUCCUGAACUGUCCCGCAACGGUGUGAAGGCGGCUUUCGCCUGCCUUCGAGUCCGAGCGCCUGCCGUCGGCCACGUCCGGCU